rnacentral:rRNA from 13 species
UUGGAGAGUUUGAUCCUGGCUCAGGACGAACGCUGGCGGCGUGCUUAACACAUGCAAGUCGAGCGGUAAGGCCCUUUCGGGGGUACACGAGCGGCGAACGGGUGAGUAACACGUGGGUGACCUGCCCUCCACUCUGGGAUAAGCCCGGGAAACUGGGUCUAAUACCGGAUAGGACCACUGAUCGCAUGGUUGGUGGUGGAAAGUUUUUUCGGUGGGGGAUGGGCCCGCGGCCUAUCAGCUUGUUGGUGGGGUGAUGGCCUACCAAGGCGGUGACGGGUAGCCGGCCUGAGAGGGCGACCGGCCACACUGGGACUGAGACACGGCCCAGACUCCUACGGGAGGCAGCAGUAGGGAAUAUUGGUCAAUGGGCGAGAGCCUGAACCAGCCAUGCCGCGUGCAGGAUGACGGCCUUCUGGGUUGUAAACUGCUUUUAUAUGGGAAGAAAAAGGUCUUGCGAGACAAAUUGCCGGUACCAUAUGAAUAAGCACCGGCUAACUCCGUGCCAGCAGCCGCGGUAAUAC